rnacentral:rRNA from 1 species
GGGGGCCCGCAAGGGCAACCGGCAGACGAGGUAGUAAGGCGCAGGGAGAUACCCUAAAGUCGGGCAUAGCCAGCCGAAAGGUUGGGUAAUUCCCGAUGGUCCCGUAAGGGUAAAGGUUUUCCGCUUUGGGAGUCACCUGCGUAAUAUCAGCUAGUUGGUGAGGUAAUGGCUCACCAAGGCUACGACGUUUAGGGGAGCUGAGAGGCUGACCCCCACCGAUGGGACUGCGACACGGCCCAUACUCCUACGGGAGGCUGCAGCCGAGAAUAUUCGACAAUGGGGGAAACCCUGAUCGAGCGACGCCGCGUGAUGGAUGAAGUGCUUCGGUACGUAAACAUCUUUUAUCGGGGACGAAAUAAGUGACGGUACCCGAUGAAUAAGGGGCUCCUAACUCUGUGCCAGCAGGAGCGGUAAUACAGAGGCCCCAAGCGUUACCCGGAAUCACUGGGCGUAAAGGGUGUCCAGGCGGCCGUAUUAGUCGUUUGUAAAAUCCGCGGGCUUAACCUGCGGUCCGCAAGCGAAACGGUACGGCUCGAGGGCGCGAGAGGUGCAUGGAACUCAUGGUGGAGGGGUGAAAUCCGUUGAUAUCAUGGGGAACACCAAAGGCGAAGGCAGUGCACUGGCGCGUUCCUGACGCUCACACACGAAAGCCAGGGGAGCGAACGGGAUUAGAUACCCCGGUAGUCCUG